GGUCAAGCAAGUAACGUAUAUUAGAAAAAAUAAAAAAUAAAAAAUAGACAGUAUUCUAUUCUCUCUCAUGUUCCCUUCUCGGAAGUCUGAUAAUCUCUCUCUUGCGUUCCAUCUUUGGUUUUUCUGUGUUCGGUGAAUUUCCUUUCGGCAUCCUAUCGUAUUAGUCAUUGGUGAAAGCUUUUUGAGAAAGAUCAAAACUGCUUUGCCUAUGGUUGAAGCCUUGAAGGUAAAGAUCAAAACGACAAACAGUAAUUUCUUUUCAAAUUGUGAAAUCUUUUAAUUGGGAUAUAACAUCACUGCUCUCUCUCUCUCUAUUUGAUAUUGUCUUCGCUUUUCAUGAGAUGGGUAUUGUGUACUGGGAGAAGCAAUCAUGAGACGGGGUAGCAACUGGCUUCAAACUACCUUCAUCAUGCUCCCUGAAAUUGCAGAUUAUGCAGAAUGGAACCCACUCUUUUCCUCUGCUAUUGAUAUAUUAAUUAUGUUUUUCCUAUUUUAAUCAAUUUCGCAAUACAUAUUCUCGAUGGCUCAUGGUACAGUGUUGAAGCACCCCUCAAAAAAUCAAACAAGACAGUCACUUCUCAAAAGGAAAAGGGAAAAAGUACAAGAAUGCAACCACUACUGAAUUUUGGCAGUGGAGCACUGCAGCCACGGAGGCUAGAUCUCCAAAUAAGUUGGCUUGCAAUAGAAUAGAUGGCAUAUUUCAGGUGGAAGAGAUGGUGAUGUAAGCAAGGCUGGUGUUCGCAAGAGAACCAAGCUUCAGGCGACUAAUAGAGGAAGGUGAUUCCAAUAUCCUUAUUAACUCUAUCAUGAAGGGGGAGGAUAGGGGCUCAUUCUAUGGUCAUUUGGUACAAGGGAUUGUGCAGGAACCACAACUUUUUCCUAAUGUUUGGUUGAGUUGGAGAACUUAAUUUGGAAUCUUUCCACCUUUGUUUAAUUUCAUGUAUUGCUUCCUGUUGUAGUCACCUUGUCACACUCAUGGCUUAUAUUCAGCAACAAUUAUGGCUAGUCUUAUAAAGUUGACAAUGGUCAUAUUUACAAAGUUCCAAUAAAUAUAGUUGUGUAUUUUACUAACUGUAUGUUUUUCUUGUGUUACUAAUAUGGUGUUCAACUUUCUGCUAA